UAGAUUUAAAAACUACCUAAACCGAACACACGAAGAACACACAGUCUCCCGUAAUCUCCUCCUCCGUGUUUAUCAACAAUGAACUGUCUCCUUAACUUCCCCCACUCAAUUCUUUUGAUUUUGCUUUAAUCUUUUCUUUUUUUUUUCGAUUUUCCUUUUCUUUGAUUCAGACGUUAAACUCCAUAAAUUUUAUCACACAGAUCCCUUCGAAUUUUAUCAAAAUCCCUGAUUGUUGAAGAAAUUGGAAUCGAUUCUAAUUUCUCAUAGGAGUCGAGAUUUUUUUUUUCUUUUUCGAAAUUAAAGAUUUCUCUAUACAUCUCCAUCUUUUACCUAACUACCUGGAUUAAAGAUAUACACAAAUAUAGCUUGGAAUGGUGAAAAUGGUGGUGGAUCGAUGGCAAAGAUGGUUGUGGAUAAGAAUCAUCAUCAAAAAGGUGAUCCAGGGUAGAGGAGAGCUAAAAAGGCGAAAUGACUCUUGUGAUUUUGGUAUAAUUUUUUUGUUUAUUCAUUUGCUCGGCUAGGUAUUCCUUCAGCAAUUGAAGUUUUUCUUGGGAUUAAGAGUCAUGCACUCAUGCUGAUGCUUGUUGAUAAAAGGGUUAUUGCAGAUUUUUUUUAGCUCAAAGGAACUUCCUGUGGUUGAAGGGAUAUAUGGAGAAGAAAGAAAAUCUCUGUGAUUUCGAUCUUCAAGCUGAAGGAAAACUCAAGGAAGAUAAAGAAGAAACAAUGGAAGAAUUGGGUCUAGCAUUUAUAAAAGUAACUGAUGAUGCGAAGAUUAUUGUUGUUAGAGAGUAUCUAUGAGAGAUCAAGGUAAUAUGAGUUGAAGGAGAGUACGACUAAGAAGAAGAGAACCAGUGUUUUACAACAGUAGAUGUUGGAUUUUCGGAAGGCCUGCGUCCUUCAUUGGAAGAUGUAGAUGUUACGAUCAAUCAUUCAAAAGGUUUAACUAAAGUUUCUCUCUUACUGAAGGUAUACCGUAUGAUGAACAAGCAUCUAGAAGUUCGAUUUUUUGUUGAUUUUUUUUUUAUUCUUCUUUUUUAUAUUGAACAUGAUGUGUAGCUUCUGUUGGUUUUGGUUUCUCAAGUUGUAAUUUUGCUUUUGAAGUAUGUAAUUGAAUUUUAAUUGGUUUUAAUAAAAUGAUUUUAAUUUAUUGAUAAAA